rnacentral:rRNA from 1 species
GACGAACGCUGGCGGCGUGCCUAACACAUGCAAGUCGAACGGAACGGCCCCAGCUUGUUGCUGUCCUCUAGUGGCGAACGGGUGAGCAACACGUGGGUACUCUGCACUGCACUCUGGGAUAAGCUUGGGCAACUGGGUCUCAUACUGGAAAUGACCUUUCUCCUUAUGGGGUUCCGUGGUAAGUUUAUCGGUUUGGGAUGGGCCCGCGCCCUAUCAGCUUGUUGGUGGGGUAAUGGCCAACCAAGGCGACGACGGGCAGCCGGCCUGAGAGGGUGAGCUGCCACAUUGGAACUGGGAUACGACCCAGACUCCUACGGGAGGCAGCGGUGGGGAGUAGUGCACAAUGGGCGGAAGCCUGAAGCAGCGACGCCGCGUGGGGGAUGACAGCCUGCGCGUUGUAAACCUCAUUCAGCAGAGACGAAGCGUAAGUGACAGUACCUGCAGAAGAAGCACCGGCUAACUAUGUG